ACGCUCGACACCUACGGGGGCAGCAGUGGGGAAUAUUGCACAAUGGGGGAAACCCUGAUGCAGCGACGCCGCGUGAAGGAAGAAGUAUUUCGGUAUGUAAACUUCUAUCAGCAGGGAAGAAAAUGACGGUACCUGACUAAGAAGCCCCGGCUAACUACGUGCAGCAGCCGCGGUAAUCUGAGCGGGCUGGCAAGGC
rnacentral:rRNA from 1 species